rnacentral:rRNA from 1 species
UAUUAGAGGCAUUGCCUGCCCAGUGACUAAAGUUAAACGGCCGCGGUAUCCUGACCGUGCAAAGGUAGCAUAAUCACUUGUUCCUUAAUUAGGGACUAGAAUGAAUGGCUAAACGAGGGUUCAACUGUCUCUUACUUUUAAUCAGUGAAAUUGACCUUCCAGUGAAGAGGCUGGAAUAUUAAAAUAAGACGAGAAGACCCUAUGGAGCUUUAAUUUACUAGUUUAAUUUAUAUAAAAAUAACCUAAUGGCUCAAAACAAAACAAAUAUAAACUAAAAAAUUUCGGUUGGGGUGACCUCGGAGAAUAAAAAAUCCUCCGAAUGAUUUUAACCUAGACCCACAAGUCAAAGUAAUUCCAAUAUCUCAUUGACCCAAUUAUUGAUCAACGGACCAAGUUACCCUAGGGAUAACAGCGCAAUCCUAUUCAAGAGUUCAUAUCGACAAUUAGGGUUUACGACCUCGAUGUUGGAUCAGGACAUCCCAAUGGUGCAGAAGCUAUUAAUGGUUCGUUUGUUCAACGAUUAAAGUCCUACGUGAUCUGAGU